AGAGUUUGAUCCUGGCUCAGAUUGAACGCUGGCGGCAUGCCUAACACAUGCAAGUCGAACGGCAGCACAGAGGAGCUUGCUCCUUGGGUGGCGAGUGGCGGACGGGUGAGUAAUGCAUCGGGAUCUACCCUGACGUGGGGGAUAACCUCGGGAAACCGGGACUAAUACCGCAUACGUCCUACGGGAGAAAGCGGGGGACCUUUUAGGCCUCGCGCGGCAGGACGAACCGAUGUGCGAUUAGCUAGUUGGCGGGGUAAUGGCCCACCAAGGCGACGAUCGCUAGCUGGUCUGAGAGGAUGAUCAGCCACACUGGGACUGAGACACGGCCCAGACUCCUACGGGAGGCAGCAGUGGGGAAUAUUGGACAAUGGGCGCAAGCCUGAUCCAGCAAUGCCGCGUGUGUGAAGAAGGCCUUCGGGUUGUAAAGCACUUUUAUCAGGAGCGAAAUCUGCAUGCUUAAUACGUGUGCAGUCUGACGGUACCUGAGGAAUAAGCACCGGCUAACUUCGUGCCAGCAGCCGCGGUAAUACGAAGGGUGCAAGCGUUAAUCGGAAUUACUGGGCGUAAAGGGUGCGUAGGCGGUUCGUUAAGUCUGUCGUGAAAUCCCCGGGCUCAACCUGGGAAUGGCGAUGGAUACUGGCGAGCUAGAGUGUGUCAGAGGAUGGUGGAAUUCCCGGUGUAGCGGUGAAAUGC
rnacentral:rRNA from 1 species